rnacentral:rRNA from 1 species
AGCGAACGCUGGCGGCAGGCCUAACACAUGCAAGUCGAACGAACCCUUCGGGGUUAGUGGCGGACGGGUGAGUAACACGUGGGAACGUGCCUUUAGGUUCGGAAUAACUCAGGGAAACUUGUGCUAAUACCGAAUGUGCCCUUCGGGGGCAAGAUUUAUCGCCGUUAGAGCGGCCCGCGUCUGAUUAGCUAGUUGGUUGAGGGAAUGGCUCUCCAAGGCGAGGUACAGUACAUGGUCUGAGAGGAUGAUCAGCCACAUUGGGACUGAGACACGGCCCAAACUCCUACGGGAGGCAGCAGUGGGGAAUCUUGCGAAAUGGGCGAAAGCCUGACGCAGCCAGGCCGGGUGAAUGAUGAAGGUCUUAGGAUUGUAAAAUUCUUUCACCGGGGACGAUAAUGACGGUACCCGGAGAAGAAGCCCCGGCUAACUUCGUG